rnacentral:rRNA from 1 species
CCUACGGGAGGCAGCAGUGGGGAAUUUUGGACAAUGGGCGCAAGCCUGAUCCAGCAAUGCCGCGUGCAGGAUGAAGGCCUUCGGGUUGUAAACUGCUUUUGUACGGAACGAAAAGCCCUGGGUUAAUACCCUGGGGUCAUGACGGUACCGUAAGAAUAAGCACCGGCUAACUACGUGCCAGCAGCCGCGGUAAU